GUAGACCUUGUACAAUAGAGCUUAUAGGCUAAUGAGAAGACAGGAAGAAACAACAGGAACACAUAUAGCUGGAAUGCAGAUGGGAUCUGUGCUACUUACGCUAGCCAUGGGAUGAUUAGAACAAGAUAAGAGACAUGAGGAAGACUUCUUCAAGGAGGUGCUCAAGCCAUGUUUUGGAAAAGAGAACUCAAGGUCUGGCAGGGAGAAAGGAGCAAGGGCAAGUAGAGCUGCAGCUGUCUGGCGCCACUGUAAUGCUGUCUCCUCCUCUGAGUGAGUUCAUCCUGGAAACAUUUUCUCCCAUAAGACAUGCACAGGUCUUACGUUUACAUGUUUCACUGAAAGAAAUUUGAUUCCACUGCUGGGAUGACAAGGAAGACUGAAGAAACCUAAUCCUAGGUGCUGCCACUGGGACAAACAAGAAGCACCAGACACAGUGCUGUUUUAGGGUGGGGCAGAAUUAUGCUGAGGGAAAAGUUAUUAUCACUCUUUAAGGCCAAGGAAACCACAAUUUUUAAAGAAGCUUCUAGAAAUUCUACCCAGUAGAAAAUAAAGAUAAACUUCUGUAAGGAA
rnacentral:lncRNA from 1 species